UACGUAGGGCGCAAGCGUUGUCCGGAAUUAUUGGGCGUAAGAGCUCGUAGGCGGCCUGUCGCGUCUGCUGUGAAAUCCCGGGGCUCAACCCCGGGCCUGCAGUGGAUACGGGCUGGCUGGAGGCAGGCAGGGGAGAAUGGAAUUCCCGGUGUAGCGGUGAAAUGCGCAGAUAUCGGGAGGAACACCGGUGGCGAAGGCGGUUCUCUGGGCCUGUUCUGACGCUGAGGAGCGAAAGCGUGGGGAGCGAACAGG
rnacentral:rRNA from 1 species